rnacentral:rRNA from 1 species
AUUGAACGCUGGCGGCAGGCUUAACACAUGCAAGUCGAGCGAGCGGCGGACGGGUGAGUAAUGUCUGGGAAACUGCCUGAUGGAGGGGGAUACCUACUGGAAACGGUAGCUAAUACCGCAUACCAUCAGAUGUGCCCAGAUGGGAUUAGCUAGUAGGUGGGGUAAUGGCUCACCUAGGCGACGAUCCCUAGCUGGUCUGAGAGGAGGACAAGCCAAACUGGAACUGAGAAACGGUCAAGACUCAUACGGGAGGAAGCAGUGGGGAAGAUUGCACAAUGGGAGAAAGCAUGAUGCAGCCAUGCCGCGUGUGUGAAGAAGGCCUUCGGGUUGUAAAGCAAUUUCAGCGAGGAGGCGUUACUCGCAGAAGAAGCACCGGCUAACUCCGUGCCAGCAGCCGCGGUAAGAC